UAUUCAAUACUCUUCACGUUCCCCAUCAAAACCUCAACAUCUCCCCCAUUCAAUUAACCUCUUCAACAUCUUCCCUAAUCAAUAAAAUGCACAUUCCUAGGGAAAGAAUCCCUCAUGCGUGCGGCCCUGCACCUUCAAGAAGCAGCCAAAUAAGGAUUAGGGUUAGGAGAAUUUCACGUUCUCUUCUUCAGACUUCCUUCUCUCUCUCUCUAAAAAAAACUCAAGAGCGACAAUCGGCUUUCAUCGUCUUUCUCAGGCGAGCUCUUUUCGUACCUUAUCCGAUUUGGUUCACCGAUGAUGAACACCGCCCUCUUUUGAUUUCUUCUUCUCACCAUGAAACGGUGGCCGAGAUCUUUUUGAAUCUUCAAAAUAGGGUGGGAUCUUUUUGAUUUUUCUGUUUUUUCUUUAUUCUCUCUUCUUCUCUCUCAACGAUUCUGAAGGGUUUUUGUGAUAGGAAAAUGAUGAACAAAGUUUCAAGGUUUUUUGUAUGAAUGUACCUAUGGCAUUUUUUAUGAAUUGAAUACUGUGUUCUUUUUCUUUCUUCACAUAAUUUCUGGAAAAUUUAUGUUGAUGAGGAAGAUAACGAUGGAAUUUUUUUAGGGUUUGAUUGUUCUAUGCGGCUGAUGUUUCUGAACAGAGGGACUGCAUUAAAAAUUGUUCAGGGUCACAAUUUCUGUUUAGGGAUAGUAUAUUGAUUUUCAAUUUUCACUUUCGAAUCUCUAAUAUAAUUUUUUUAUUUCAGGAUUUACCUUCUUUGAGUUGAUCUCUUCAUGUUGGUUCUUGCUUCACGAUGAUUGUCAAUGUUAGAUCUGAAGGGUUGUUGUUACUUUUAUUUGAAUAAGGGUUUCAGUAGAUGCCUUUGAGAAGAAGUAGACGUCGACUUUAGAGGUCGAGUAUAUGAAUAUUCAAAAAGAUAGAGACAAAGCCAUUGAGAAGCUCAUAGAAUGAGGUUGAUAUCUUAAGGCUAUGUUUGGAUAUCAUAAAAUCAACGGAGCGGAAUGGAGCAGAGCGGAGUGGGAUGGAGCGGAGUGGAGCGGAGCGGAACGAGGAUACCAUUCCAUUGUUUGGAAAUUUCAGGACGGAACAGAGUAAGUUGUUCAUUCCGCCCAAAUCGGAUGGGAAGAAAAAUGGUGGUAAGUGAUGAAAUGGAAUGGAAUCCAUACCACUCCAUUCCGCUCCACUCCAUCCGUUUUUAACUUAUCCAAACAAUGGAAUAUCAUUUUAUUCCAUCUCAUUCCGCUCCGCUCCGCCCGGUUCCAUCAAUCCAAACAAAGCCUAAGAGAUGAAUCACAAAAGAGAUGUAAUUUUAAAGGUAUGUGUCAAAAGAAUGACAAAGGUGUGUGGUUCAGAAUUUGAGAGAAAAGAACAUGAAUGUAUAAAGGUGUAGAGUAGAAAAAAAAGUUUAUUAUAGCUUUAUUUUUUAUACUUUCAUGAAUGAUUAUAUAGACAAGUAAGAAUUGUAUUUGUUAGCAUACAUAUAAUGUAUGACGACUAUUAUAGCU